rnacentral:lncRNA from 1 species
GCAGCACAUCUUUGCUGAUGACGCGAGGACCUCAGCUUGCAAACUUCGCAAAUAUUUGAUUCUCUUGUUCCCAAGCGUGCUUCAGUGUGACUGGCCGCCCGGCAUUGUUGAUAGUGAAGUUUCGAUGGUUAUACUCCAAUCUCCGAUUCAUUCUGCGAUUUUCUCGUGUCAUAAUGGCCUUUUCACCAGGACUCAAUUUGUGUCAAGAUGGCAUCAUUCACAUCGGGUCCAAACUUGAUCAGCAUCAGCCAAUCACGUAUCUGCAAAAUGAAGAUGUCAAAUUAUUCGCCAGGAGUUGGGGCAACAACGAUGAUCCAUUAGUGCAAAAGCCAUUAGUGCUUUGGAGAGACUUGAUGCCAAAUUUAUGGACAGCCUAACGAGCCCUUUACCCGCUGAGCGCAAACACGUAACUUUGUCUUUGUUAAAAAACAUAAAAGUAGAAGAGGCAGAGGACGAUGAAUAUCCACCUAGAGAACAUUCUAGUAAGAUCGCUAUCAUCCACUUGGUUCCAAAAAAGGAAAUUGACAUCGAAUUCUCCAACAGGGUCAUGACAAACGAGCUGCCUGAUUCAAAAGCCGAAGUUAAGUUACAACAUGAGCUUUUUUCUGACAGCACUGGAGAAUACUUUGACAAUGGUCAUCAAGAGAUUAGCAUACAGGGCUCAUACAGUUUGAACAAUCCAAUUGUUGUCCUCGAAAAACUUGAUCCAGAGUUGGUUCGCAGCCAUUUGAAAGCGAUAGAAAAUUCACUCAGUCCGAGCCAUUCAGUUCCACCGUUUGGGUUGAGUAUAGAGGAGACUUUAGAUUUGGAUCAUCUCUCUAUUCACGAUCAAAACAUAGAAAAACAAGGAGCAAGCGAUGUGUCAAUGAACGAUCCAAAAUCGUCGCUAGCAGAACGCCGAAAAUCGUCCAAUAGGAGGGUUAUAAGGAAGUUCGCUCCAACCAAGAACGAAAGACUGCCUCAUCACAUUCAUUUGCAUGAAUCUGCACCUAAGAGAUCUUCCAGUUUUUUCAAAAAUUCGGCACUGAAUUGUCAUCAACCGAAUGAGGAAAAUUUAGGGACGAAAAUGUCCAAG